AUUGAACGCUGGCGGCAUGCUUUACACAUGCAAGUCGAACGAGUGGAGAACUGGGGAGUAAUUUGUCGGAACGUACCGAGUAGUGGGGGAUAACCAAUAAAAUGAUUUGCUAAUCCCGAAUAUUCUUUGAGCGGCCGCUAACUGAUUAGCUAGUUGGUGGGGUAAAGGCCUACCAAGGCGACGAUCAGUAGCGGGUCUGAGAGGACGAUCCGCCACACUGGGACUGAGACAGGGCCCAGACUCCUACGGGAGGCAGCAGUGGGGAAUUUUGGACAAUGGGGGCAAGCCUGAUCCAGCCAUGCCGCGUGUAUGAAGAAGGCCUUCGGGUGGUAAAGUACUUUUGUUAGGGAAGCGGUACCUAAAGAAUAAGCACCGGCUAACUACGUGCCAGCAGCCGCGGUAAUUC
rnacentral:rRNA from 1 species